CGAAAAUCCAGAAGAGAGAGAGAGGAUCUGCACCCAGAAAUCCACUGGAGUACUUCUCAGCUGCAGAAGCCCCGCCUCCCCAGACAAGGUUGCUGGCUGGGUUAGGUGCCUUCGCACAUUCGGGCUCUUCCUCCAAAGUAAGUUGUUUGAAGGAUUAGCUUCAUUUCAAAAAAAAAAAAAAAAGCACGAACCCCGUACUAAGUGCCCGGCACUCUGGCCCAUCCGUGUCUGCCCAGCGCCUGCACAUUGUAGGUGCUCACCUUUCCUUCUCUGCACCACUUGGCAGCUUACAACUCUCUUCUUAAAUGCUUUUUCACCUGGCUGAUAGCCCUGCUCUCUCUGUUCUGCUCCUGCCUCACUGACUGCUCCUACUUGGUCUCUGGCUAGUUCCUUUUCAUUCUGCCGACUUCUCUACCGUGGGAAUGUCCCAGAGCUUGGUCCUCUGUCUGGCUCUUCAUCUACGUUCACUUCCUAGGCGGUCUCCUUCCGUCUGAGCUUUAAAUGUCCAUAGGCUAACGACUCCUAAAUUUGUGUCUCCAGCCUAUGCCUGCCUCUCUGCUGAUCUCUAGUCGUAGGUCCACCACCAACUCAACAUGGCCACAGGGUGUCUCAUAAGCACCUCGGAAGACAGGAGCAAAAUCAGACUCCCGACCUCUCCCGUAUCUGCUCCUCGAGCCAACUCCCCGCUUCUGAAAUCCUUUAGAGUCCUUAAUUCCAGUCUUUCUCUCACACCCUGUAUCCAAUCCACUGACAAAUCCCCUCAGCUCUACCUCCACCAUACUUCCAGAAUACACCUUUUCCUCUGCACUGCCAAGUGUCCAAGCCACCGAAAGCCAUUGCCUGAUUUACUGCAGUAGCCUCCUGCCUCCUGGCCUCCUCUUGCCCUGCUCCCCUGGGUCCACACAGAGCAGCCAGUGCCCUCUGUAAAGGCCAGUCUGAUACCUCUCCUCCAAACCACCCAAUGGCUCCUCACCUCGUUCAGGAGUCACAGCCUUUAAAAUGGCCUGCGAGGCCCUCUGUGAUAUGCCCCUGCCCCAUGCUUCUGUGACCUUGCCUGCCUCAAGCCUCCUUGUCAUCUUUGCUGUUCGUCAGGAAUGCCCUUCCCCCAAAUAUCCACGAGGCUCACUCCCUCACUUUCUUCAGGUCUCAGCUCAAGUGUCACCCACCUCAUCACAGGAGCUUCUCUGACCGCCCAAAUAAAAGAACAACCCUGCCCCCUCCCCAAGCCCUUAUGAUCUCGGAAUCCUCCUCUCUCCACUGAGGGCAAGGGUGUAGUUCUGCUUACUGUUCAAUUCCCAGCAUUUAGUAUCACGUGCCUGAUGCUGUAGGCACUCUAGGAAUAUUUGCUGAAUAAAUGGGAUCAAUGAAUGUUCCAUUAUUAAAGGCACAUGGUCAGGAUGCUACUUUUCAAAACAUGAGAGUAAAAUCCCUCAAUCCACGAUCUGGGUGCAUUCAAGAAAGAUUGCUUCAGUAAACUGCUCUUGCAGAAGGUCAAGUGUUCCAAUGUGCGACACUCAUGUGAAAGCUGGCCCAGCUGGGUCUAAGCAGAGUAAUUUUUAGCCUCAAGAUUCAUAUUUUGAGAAGAUUUUGACCGAGGUGUAAAUACUUAAAAUUGAUUCCCAUGAAUCUGGAAUGCUUAGCCUUCGUCCAAGUUUGGAUUUCUUCAACAGGUUACUCAGCCACUGGAACUUUGUCCUGACACCACUCCUCAUGACAGCUGUGAAAGGAAGGUGCAUCUUUCUUCAUUCCCUGGUGACUGUUCUGUUAGCAUACAGAAUUAAGUAAACAACCAGGUCACCUGAUUGGAAAGCAGACUAAAAAGGACUUGAGACUUAAAGAUGAGGAACCAUCUUUAUUCAAGUAACACGCUAAGCCCGAUUUGCUCCACUCUCACCAGUACAGAAGGUAAAGCAAGACACAGGUUGUGGAGGUGAGGGGGUGGGUGGUAGACACCUUUACAAUAGAAACUAUAAUGGCCUCAAUUAGUGGUUCUCAAAGUAUGGUCUAGGGAUCUACUCUUUCAGGAGGUCUGUGAGGUCAAAACUACUUUCAUAUUAACAUGUUAGCCGCCUUUUUCAUGCCCAUUCCCCCAAAAGUGUAGUACAGAAUUUUUUAGAGGUCACACAACAUGCAAUGUUCACAAGAGGCUGAAUGCAGAAGCAGAUAGGAGACUAGCUGUCUUCUGUUAAGCCAAACAUGAAAGAAAUUUGCAAGAAUGUAAAACACUGCCACUCUUCUAAGAUAUUUUGUUAAUUUUUCAACUAAAAAUGUUAACGUGUAAUAAAACCACUACUUCUAAAUCGAGUAAUACAUUAUUUUUUUUAAUUUCUUAGUUUGAAUUUCUGACAUGGUAAAUAUUUUUAAGUAUAACCCACAUGAACAAAAUCUCUUUGGCAUCCUUAAUUUGUAAAUG
rnacentral:lncRNA from 1 species